AUCUAAACGACGAGUCUCAAAUAGGACGAAGCGCGCGUCCUGGAU
rfam:Schistosoma curassoni strain Dakar, Senegal genome assembly, scaffold: SCTD_contig0002416